GACGAACGCUGGCGGCGUGCCUAACACAUGCAAGUCGAACGGACAGGUCCUGCUCUUGUGGGGUGCUCGAGUGGCGAACGGGUGAGUAACACGCGAGUAACCUGUCCCUGACUUUGGGAUAUCUUCAGGAAACUGGGGCUAAUACCGCGUAGGAGCUCCUGCUGCACGGGGGUGGUUGGUAAGAUUCGGCGGUUGGGGAUGGACUCGCGGCUUAUCAGCUUGUUGGUGUAGUAGUGGCGUACCAAGGCUUUGACGGGUAGCCGGCCUGGGAGGGUAGACAGCCACAGUAGGCCUGCGGUAGGGACCAGACUCCUACGGGAGGCAGCAGGCGAGAAUAUUACGCAAUAGGCGGAAGCCAGAUGCGGCGGCGCCGCGUGCGGGAAGACCGCCUUCGAGUUAUAAACCGCUUUCGCCUGAACCAAGGCGUGAUUGACGGUAAUGAAUCAAAAAGCCCCGGCUAACUACGUG
rnacentral:rRNA from 1 species